rnacentral:rRNA from 1 species
CCUACGGGGGGCUGCAGUGGGGAAUAUUGGACAAUGGGGGCAACCCUGAUCCAGCCAUGCCGCGUGUGUGAAGAAGGCCCUCGGGUUGUAAAGCACUUUCAGUGAGGAAGAACGCCUGGUGGUUAAUACCCAUCAGGAAAGACAUCACUCACAGAAGAAGCACCGGCUAACUCCGUGCCAGCAGCCGCGGUAAUACGGAGGGUGCGAGCGUUAAUCGGAAUUACUGGGCGUAAAGCGCGCGUAGGUGGCUUGAUAAGCCGGUUGUGAAAGCCCCGGGCUCAACCUGGGAACGGCAUCCGGAACUGUCGAGCUAGAGUGCAGGAGAGGAAGGUAGAAUUCCCGGUGUAGCGGUGAAAUGCGUAGAGAUCGGGAGGAAUACCAGUGGCGAAGGCGGCCUUCUGGACUGACACUGACACUGAGGUGCGAAAGCGUGGGUAGCAAACAGGAUUAGAUACCCCAGUAGUC